UCCGAGUGAAUGGGAGUGGGUGGCUGAAAGGGGGGGAGUAGAGUAGUUGGAGUGGCUCCACAUCAGCUAAUGGGAGUGGGCGUUGUAUCGACCCACUUCCCAGGCCAUUGCGAUGCCGAUUGGCUCUGGGGCGAAACACGCUCUCACACACUUGAUAGCAGCCAGUUAGCGUGCUAAGUGUUUUUUCUCGGCAAAUUGUAUUUCGACAAAGCGGGGCAAUUAAAAACGAACAUUUCUGCCGAUAAGUAGGUGCCCAUGGGA